AGCACCUACUUUCAGCCGGAGGGCUAAGCUGAUAGGACAUAAGCUUGCAGCUGCUGGUGGACAACUUUAUAAGCAGAGAGGAAAACAACCCAACUGGCCUGAGAGUGAAGUUGACACAGGAAAGCAGAGCCAAAGGGCAUGCGGAGUCACCGACAAACAACGCCUGGGCGCCUGGAUGCAGUCAGACUGGGGCUGUGUGUGCUCACCUAGGGGCAUUUCGGAUUCCUGUGUCGGUUUCGGGAGCAGGAGCACCCAGCCCGUGCACCAUGUGAGGGAGAAUUUUUGGUCAGUCUGAGAGCAGGUCCCCACACCUGAGGGAGGUAAGUUUUCUCACAAUGAAAUGGACAUAAGAGGUCUUAUCUCACCGGCUGUCAGAGCGGUUAAAUGAGACAAUGAACUUAAAGCACUUUGCCCAGCAAGAAGAAAGGGGUGGAUGUACGUAGAAUCUUGUAAAGUCUUGACAACAAUGACGAUGACCAUCACUGUUAUUAUACUUUCAGUCUCAGCUCACGUCCACCUCCAGGAAGUCUUCCCUGACUGCCUGAGUCCCUCUCAGCUGAGUGAGUUCCUUUAGAACAGAAUCCGCUUUGGCGAACUUGCCCUGCACUGAGGCACUGUCACCUCCAUGGGUGUUGCUCAGAUUGGGGGCUGUCAGAAUCCCCAAGGGGGUGCAUCAUGACUUCAUGUUCCCAGCCCCACCUUCUCCUCUGAGGACCUCUGUCAGAGGCCUACUGUGAGGUCCAAAAAUCUGCGUUUUCACCAGGUCCCCUACCCUGAGGUCAUUCGGAUGCAAGCUGUCCGCAGGUGACACUUGCAGAAACUCCUACCCACCUCCCCCUUUUACAGGUGGGGAAACUGAGCUGGGGGCAGGCCAGUGGGCCCGGCAUCACACAGGGAUGCACUGGCAGGGCCGGUGGGAACCUGAAGUGGAGCCUCGUGGUCCUGGGCCAGUCCACCCUGGUGCACGGGGCCCCCUCUCUGUGGACCAGGCCAGACCAGUCCUUGGCAUGGGUUUCCACCGUCCGGUUCUCUGAUCACUGGCUGGCCUCCUGCCUCCCGAACAGGUGUCUCUUUGGGGCCCUGAACCCAGCAGGUGCUCAACAAAUACCCGCCACAGGAUGGGCACAGCUCUAGCAAGACCGAAAUAUUUAGCAUUUUCUUCAGCAAGGGGGUUUCUUCAGCGAAGGCACCAGCGCCGUGGAGUGAUGGACUCUCCACAGUGGUGCGAGGAGAGAGCCCUCAUCCCGCUGGGGACCCCAGAAUGUGGGUGUUUUUCUUGUUGCCUUUUCCUCUCUGAGGAGAGGGUUGUGAUGUUGAUCGGGCUGCUACAAACACACCAGGCUGUGAGCUGCAGCGGGCGGACCCUGCGUCUGCUCAUGGUGCUUUCACUCUCUCCCACCGGCAUGGGUGUAGUAGGUGCUCGGUGAGUGUUGAUGAGAUGGGAGAACGGAACCUCGGACCCUGCUCCUCACUCCAAGCAGCUCAUUUCUCACACUGCGGAUGGUCUGAGGGUAACAGAGUGUUUCCGCCAUUCCUCUCCCCCUCGGGGCUCCUCCUCCCCUACUUCCAACUGUGGGUCUGGGGGGUGUGAAGGCCCAAGAGGUGGUCCUGGUCCCUGUCUUGGACCCCCUUCUCCAGGGCAUCUGUGGGUGCGGUAAGAAGGUUUCUGCAGAAAUCACUCUGCACAGCUGGGCCUGCCUUCACCCCCGCUGCCCACACUUCCUCCAGCAGCGCCGUGGCGCCACGGCCCCGCUCCGCCAGGACUGGAUUUGAUUGAUUCUUUACUGGCCUGUGGACUUGAUGCCCGUGCUGAGUACAUGUGGAAGCUGAGCCAGGGACGAGGUGGGGGGAGAGGAGAGCCAAGGGGGUGCCUUGUGAGCCAGACCCCAACCCUUGCAAAACACAGGGCUUCCCCAGGCUGACCCAGCCAGCACAGCCUUUCCCGCCGCACCCACACGCUGCCGAUGACUCUGGUUUCUAGAACUGCCCUGCUAAUUUCCCAACAAUGUCCAAUGCAAGGGGAAUGUCCAAGGCUAGGCCUGGGGACAGGCCCGGGCCAAACGUCCUCCCGAAAAAAUGCGAUGCGAGCAUUGUUCAUCUGUUAUUGAUUGGGAGGCUGUGAGCUUCGCUUCCAAAAUCUCCAAUAAAACUGGCUUGGAGGAGAAUUUCCUGAUUCCCCGGGCCCUGCCUCAUGAAGCUGUUACCAGAGUCAGGAAUGCCUGGUGUGUACGUACACGUGCUUCGCAUGGCGCCUGGCACACAGAAAGUGCUCAGGAAGCAUAGUUUUUAUUACCAUUGUUCCUUGACAUCAGCAGCUGGGACUCUGCUGACUUCAUGCUCAGAUCAGAGGAGGGCUCAGAGAUCAGAAUGACCCAGACAGGCUCUGCCUGACCCAGAACGACGCCAACACUGGGCGGAUCCAAACUGAUGCUGCAAAGACUCCGAGAACUGGACUGGGAGAUGAACCACCGCCCACAGGAGCCACGCGGAACUGAGUCUAAACCCAGCCAGGUUGUCUGGCUGCUCAAGGAAAAACCCCAACAUUCUUUAAAGGCAAUAAUGGUCCAGAAUCUAUGCACCAUAACACUCGAAAUGCCCAGGUGCAUCCCAAAAGUCAACGUGCAAGGAGCCAUGAAAAUACGACAGCCCUGAAACUGGAAAAUUGGGGCCCGAUUUUCUCUGGAAAAUCGAGGGUGGAGAGCACGCUUCCGGGUGAAGACUGAACGCGUUAUCUUAUGAGCUGUGUCUUACAUCUUGCAUUUUCAUACUUUGAAGAAAAAGGGAUCAUAUCCCUAAAUAUAAAACAUAAUAAUAUGAAAGUUCUAGAAGAAAACAUAGGAAGAAAUCUUUGUGAUCUUGGGGUAGGCAAAGAUUUCUUGGAUCUAGCACCAAAAAUGCUAUCCAUAAAAGAAAUGGGUAAAUUGGACUACAUCAAAAUUAAGAAUGUAUGCUUUUUGAAAGACUCUGUUAAGAAAAUGAAAAGAUAAGACACAGACAGGCAGAAGCCAUUUGCAGAUCACGUAUCUGUUAAGGGACUUGCAUCUGGAACAUAUAAAGAACUUUCAAAAAUAAGAAGAAAGCAAACAGCCCAACAACAACCAAAGAAAAAGGCAAAAGAUGUGAAUAGACGCUUCACCGAAGCAGAUACAUAGAUGGCAAAUAAACACACAGAAGACAUUCAAAGUAAUUCACGACCUGAGCACAGAUGACUAAAACCACAAUGAGAUGCCAUUCGCACCUACUGGAAAGGCCAAAGUUAAAGACAUGCACCGUACCAAGUGCUGGGGAAGACUGACUGGCAUGCACUUCUGGGGGCGAAUGAAAAGCAGUAUGACCGCGCUGGGAUGUGGUUUGGCAGUACUGUGCGACCCUGCCACUUCAUUCCUCUUCACCCAAAAGAAAAGGAAAUACAC